GGGCGAUUAGCUCAGCCCGGUAGAGCACUUGGAUCACACCCAAGGGGUCACAGGUUCGAAUCCUGUAUCGCCCA
rnacentral:tRNA from 1 species